AAUUGAAGUAUUUUCUGUACAUAGUUUCUUUAGUUUCAAUUCGUACAAUCUGUUGCAGCCAUCUUCCACGCUUCUCUAUUUUCUGCUUUCCUGUUUUUAAUUGUAAAUAUGAGUCGCAUCUAGAAUUUACAAUCCCGGCCUUAUUUUACGAUUUCGGGAUAUUUAGCUAUUAAUUCCAAAAUUUAGUAAGAAAAUAUUUAAAAGAAUUAUGCAUCAUUUUUUUUAUUUAAUUUUUUUUAUUGAUAUAUUUUUUAUUAUUGUUAUAAAUUACAAUUAAAUGUUCUACUUAUUUUUAAGCCUACAACCAACUUUCGUUUAGCUAGUGGUGGUAUCGAAUUUUCUUUUAACGGUUGUCCAUGUCCAUGCCCAGUUAAUGAACAAUUGCCUUCAGAAACUAAAAAUUACGUUUUAAUAACAAAUACGUGUGUAAACCUUUUGUUGAUCCUCCCAGUGUUUUCAAUAUAGCUAAACAUCGUUUACAUCGAGCACUUUUUCCAUCGUUUGCGAUUAGGAAAUUACCACGUCGAUGAUGUAUCUGAAUCUUUUUUGUGUUUAAUAAAAACACUAUCACGUGACAUUUUAUAAUAAAAAUAUUGAUACAGUUAAAUAUUUAAAAAAAGACCCGUGAGUCUUGACUCGUGACCGUAUUGAAUGUAUUCAGAGAACAGCAAGUCAUAAUAUAAUAAAAUCUUAUCUUACAAACAAGUUGAUCGGAAUUAAUAGCCGGGGAAUUAAAUUAUAGAGGCACUGUUACAUAAUCCCGGGAAUCCUGGGAUUAUUUAUACUGGUCCCGAUAUGUUCGGUACCUAAAAGUAGUCGGAAUCCCGGGAUCCGGUAUCCCGAGAUUGUAAUCUCUAGUCGCAGCUUUGGUCCUUUAUUAAUUGUUGAAUGUAUUCCAAUCUUGCUUUCCUCUAUAAUUCUUCCUUUCUACGCUUCCUCUUAUAAUUAAUUCUAACAAUGGAACAAUCUAUCAUGUAUUAAAUGACCUAUCCAUUCAUUCAGUUUUCUUUCUUUAUUCUUCUAUGAUAGCAGUAGUCCUUUUAAAUAUCCUUUCGAUUAUUUCUUUAUUGGUUGAAUAACCAAUAAAUUGGAUGGGGAGAAUUGUCCAUCCAGCAUUAUUUUCAACAUUCUACUAGAGCACCACAUUUCGAGUAUAGAUGAAUACGGCAUCUGCUAACCAAUUGUACUUUUUGAUUGGUCGAUUUGAAUCGCCACGCAAAAGCGCCAGAUGCCGACGUUGUUUAAGUAGGUAGGUGUCUUGUGAUCUUUAAAUCAAUAUAUUCGUAGUAUUCGAAUGGGAUGACGCGGCACUUUCAAUCCAUAUGGGGUAAAAAGUUCGAUCCGAUGAUCACGAAACAAUUAUUUUGCUUUUUUUUUUGUAUUUCCUUUGUUACCAACUCCGUCAAGGUUUUGCAAACAAAAUGAGGUUCAUUUUAAUUUAAAACAGUCCGUUAAAUGAAUAAGACGAUUACAUACAUUUUAUUUUUUAUUUCAUGAAUGUCAAAGCCACAGUCAAAUGUAUAAACAUGGGGCAAAAGAAGCUAUUUAUAUAGGGUAUGCUGAUACGUAAUAAUGAUAAACUUCAAAUAGGCAUACAAUUUUUAAUAAUAGUUUCCAUAAAAAAUUCAAACAUUUUAAAUAUGUCGAAAAACACAUCUUUUCAAACAUAAUUGAAAAAUAGGAGGUGAGGAUUUUCCUAGUUUUUCCCGUUUUUACUUUGUUUUUUUUCGGUUUUUCAAAUUUGAUAAGAAAACUCCUGAAAAAAAAAACAAAAAAUUACCUUAGUAAAGUACCUAAUAAAUAAGAUUUCUUUUCAGAAAAGGUGCCACACUUAUACAUCGGAGCAAGUUUUCUAGGAGAUUAGUGGUUUACAGUAAAAAAAAAAAAAGAUAAAAAGUGGGGCGAAUUUUUUGAAUAUUUUACCACAUCUAAGUUUUCUUACCAAGUGUCAAGUCUCUACGAAUAUUUAUUAUCGAAUAACGAAAAAUAAACUCCCAAAAUUAAAAUAGCUCAAAAUCGGCUCAAACGUUUUGGAAAUGAUACCAUAAGAAAUAAGAUUUAAAAUGAAAUAAAAUAUGUCUCUUGUCAUUUUUGGUUUGGAGAUUUUGGAUAGAAAAGUAAAAAAAAAAGAAAAAUGCUAUUAUCACUUUAAAACCAGUAUAUAAUCAUCAUUUCGCUCGAAUUCAAACUAUAAUAAGAUUAUUUACUAUAUAACAGAUGAAAGAACCAAUAGAUUGUGCUUAUUGCGAUUCUUUUUCUUUCCGGGAGAAUACGGUCCGGGACUAUAUGGUUUGUAACUUUCCAGAUUUGUGCUGUCCGUGAUAAUGCGGUACGAAUAUUUUUAAAUUCCGGAAACAUAUAGUCCGGGGCUAUACGAUUUACGUAUAUAAUUUUUCCGGAUUAAUCGGACCAUUAGAUUACUUUCCGGAAUUUUACGGCCUCCUGUUAGAUUAAAAAGCAAAUAAGCAAUAUAAACAAAUUUAUGGUCAGCAAUAAAACUUAGUGCACUACAAUAAUAUUAAGCAAGUAUAAAAGAAAAAAUAUUGUAAUAUAUUUUCAAAUAAUUAUCUGUAAUAUCAAACAAUUUUGAUGAUAUGAUAUUAAAGUGUAACUGUAAUUGUUUUCUUACAACUACUUCUAUUAGCUUGAUUAUUUUAUAUGUAUUUUGUUCAGAUUUCAGUUGAGUAUGUCAGACUAGCUCAACUGAAAAUGCAGUAAAUACAAUGAAUCGGAGAAACAUUUCCCAAUAAAUAUAUGUACUAUAAUUCUUAUUGUGUAAAAAGUACUAAUAUAUUGAAUAGUAAAUAUUUAUUUCUAUUAGAUAAAAUUAAAAAUUGUUUUACUUUUACCAUUAAAAAAUACCUUUGAUUCUUGGAUGCUCAUUUUUAAAAUAUAAAUAAUAAAUUAGAAACAAGUGUAUUAGUG